GUCGCUUCGGCAGUACGCACACCAGAACUGGAACUGUACAGAGAAGUUUAGCAUGGUGUCUGCGCAAGGAUGACAUAUAAAAUCGUGAAGCAUUAAAAAAAAGA